rnacentral:rRNA from 1 species
UGAGCAACCUGCCCUUGACCCUGGAAUAACAGCUGGAAACAGCUGCUAAUACCGGAUAUGACCUCCGAUGGCAUCAUCUGGAGGUGGAAAGCUCCGACGGUCAAGGAUGGGCUCGCGGCCUAUCAGCUUGUUGGUGAGGUAACGGCUCACCAAGGCGACGACGGGUAGCCGGCCUGAGAGGGCGAUCGGCCACACUGGGACUGAGACACGGCCCAGAUCCGUACGGG